GAUCCUGGCUCAGAAUCAACGCUGGCGGCGUGCCUAACACAUGCAAGUCGAACGCGAAAGCCCCGCAAGGGGUAAGUAGAGUGGCAAACGGGUGAGUAACACGUGGGUGACCUGCCUUCGAGUGGGGGAUAACGUCCCGAAAGGGACGCUAAUACCGCAUGACAUCCUGCUCUUGGACGAGCGGAGAUCAAAGCUGGGGAUCGCAAGACCUGGCGCUUGAAGAGGGGCCCGCGCCUGAUUAGCUAGUUGGUGAGGUAACGGCUCACCAAGGCAACGAUCAGUAUCCGGCCUGAGAGGGCGGACGGACACACUGGGACUGAGACACGGCCCAGACUCCUACGGGAGGCAGCAGUGGGGAAUUGUUCGCAAUGGGCGCAAGCCUGACGACGCAACGCCGCGUGGAGGACGAAGAUCUUCGGGUCGUAAACUCCUGUCGAGCGGGACGAACACCUAUCGGGUGAAUAACCCGGCGGGCUGACGGUACCGCUAAAGGAAGCCCCGGCUAACUCCGUGCCAGCAGCCGCGGUAAUACGGGGGGGGCAAGCGUUGUUCGGAAUUACUGGGCGUAAAGGGCUCGUAGGCGGCCAACUAAGUCGGACGUGAAAUCCCCAGGCUCAACCUGGGAACUGCGUCCGAUACUGGAUGGCUUGAAUCCGGGAGAGGGAUGCAGAAUUCCAGGUGUAGCGGUGA
rnacentral:rRNA from 1 species